rnacentral:rRNA from 1 species
GUGGGGAAUAUUGGGUAAUGGGCGAAAGCCUGACCCAGCAACGCCGCGUGAAGGAAGAAGGUUUUCGGAUCGUAAACUUCUAUCCUUGGUGAAGAUAAUGACGGUAGCCAAGAAGGAAGCCCCGGCUAACUACGUGCCAGCAGCCGCGGUAAUACGUAGGGGGCAAGCGUUGUCCGGAAUGAUUGGGCGUAAAGGGCGCGUAGGCGGCCCGGUAAGUCUGAAGUGAAAGUCCUGCUUUUAAGGUGAGAAUUGCUUUGGAUACUGUCGGGCUUGAGUGCAGGAGAGGUAAGCGGAAUUCCCAGUGUAGCGGUGAAAUGCGUAGAGAUCGGGAGGAACACCAGUGGCGAAGGCGGCUUACUGGACUGUAACUGACGCUGAGGCGCGAAAGUGUGGGGAGCAAACAGGAUUAGAUACCCGAGUAGUCC